GUGGGGAAUAUUGGACAAUGGGCGCAAGCCUGAUNCAGCCAUGCCGCGUGUGUGAAGAAGGCCUUCGGGUUGUAAAGCACUUUCAGUGGGGAGGAAGGCCAGUAGGUUAAUACCUUGUUGNAUUGACGUUACCCACAGAAUAAGCACCGGCUAACUUCGUGCCAGCAGCCGCGGUAAUACGAAGGGUGCAAGCGUUAAUCGGAAUUACUGGGCGUAAAGCGCGCGUAGGUGGUUUGUUAAGUCGGAUGUGAAAUCCCCGGGCUCAACCUGGGAACUGCAUUCGAAACUGGCAAGCUAGAGUCUGGUAGAGGGGGGUGGAAUUCCNGGUGUAGCGGUGAAAUGCGUAGAGAUCGGGAGGAACACC
rnacentral:rRNA from 1 species